GGAUCAUUGGGGCUGGAAGAGAGCGCGACUUGUGCUGCGCUCCGAAACCAGUAGGCCGGCUGCCAAUGACUUUAAGGCGAGUCUCCCGCAAGGAGAGACAAAAAGACGCCCAACACCAAGCAAAGCUUGAGGGUACAAAUGACGCUCGAACAGGCAUGCCCUUUGGAAUACCAAAGGGCGCAAUGUGCGUUCAAAGAUUCGAUGAUUCACUGAAUUCUGCAAUUCACACUACUUAUCGCAUUUCGCUGCGUUCUUCAUCGAUGCCAGAACCAAGAGAUCCGUUGUUGAAAGUUGUAAAUUAUUACAUUGUUACUGACGCUGAUUGCCAUUGCAAAAAGGUUUAUGGGUUGGUCCUUGUGGUGGGCGAGCCCACCAAGGAAACAAGAAGUACGCAAAAGACACGGGUGGAAUAAUUCAGCAAGGCUGGCCACCCCGGGAGGUGCCAGCCCGCCUUCAUAUUUGUGUAAUGAUCCCUCCGCAGGUUCACCUACGGAGACCUUGUUACG
rnacentral:misc_RNA from 1 species